rnacentral:rRNA from 1 species
AUAUCAUUAAGCGGAGGAAAGAAACCAACCGGGAUUCCCCUAGUAGCGGCGAGCGAAGAGGGAAGAGCCCAAACUCCAAAUCUGAAAGUCCUUUGGCUUUCUGAAUUGUGGUCUCGUGACUUAGCAUUACUGAAGUUACUGGAUGAGUUAGAUCUCCUGGAAUGGAGUGCCGUAGAGGGUGAGAGCCCCGUACUGCAACUCAUCGCAGCGGCUUCGAUUGUCGAUGCUGGG